AGUGAACGCUGGCGGUAGGCCUAACACAUGCAAGUCGAACGGCAGCACAGUAAGAGCUUGCUCUUACGGGUGGCGAGUGGCGGACGGGUGAGGAAUACAUCGGAAUCUACUUUUUCGUGGGGGAUAACGUAGGGAAACUUACGCUAAUACCGCAUACGACCUACGGGUGAAAGCAGGGGAUCUUCGGACCUUGCGCGAUUAAUGAGCCGAUGUCGGAUUAGCUAGUUGGCGGGGUAAAGGCCCACCAAGGCGACGAUCCGUAGCUGGUCUGAGAGGAUGAUCAGCCACACUGGAACUGAGACACGGUCCAGACUCCUACGGGAGGCAGCAGUGGGGAAUAUUGGACAAUGGGCGCAAGCCUGAUCCAGCCAUACCGCGUGGGUGAAGAAGGCCUUCGGUUUGUAAAGCCCUUUUGUUGGGAAAGAAAAGCAGCAGGUUAAUACCCCGCUGUUCUGACGGUACCCAAAGAAUAAGCACCGGCUAACUUCGUG
rnacentral:rRNA from 1 species